rnacentral:rRNA from 1 species
UACAGAGGGUGCGAGCGUUAAUCGGAAUUACUGGGCGUAAAGCGCACGUAGGCGGCUUGGUAUGUCGGGUGUGAAAUCCCCGGGCUCAACCUGGGAACUGCAUCCGAAACUGCCUUGCUCGAGUAUGGGAGAGGGAAGUGGAAUUUCCGGUGUAGCGGUGAAAUGCGUAGAUAUCGGGAGGAACACCUGUGGCGAAGGCGGCCCCCUGGUUGGAUACUGACGCUGAUACGCGAAAGCGUGGGGAGCAAACAGG